rnacentral:rRNA from 1 species
UAGGUAACAGAGGCGAACCGGGAGAACUGAAACAUCUAAGUACCCCGAGGAAAAGAAAUCAACCGAGAUUCCCUCAGUAGCGGCGAGCGAACGGGGAUUAGCCCUUAAGCAUCUUGGAAGUUAGUGGAACGGUCCUGGAAAGGCCGGCGAUACAGGGUGAUAGCCCCGUACACGAAAACAACCUUGAUGUGAAAUCGAGUAGGGCGGGACACGUGACAUCCUGUCUGAAUAUGGGGGGACCAUCCUCCAAGGCUAAAUACUCCUGACUGACCGAUAGUGAACCAGUACCGUGAGGGAAAGGCGAAAAGAACCCCUGUGAGGGGAGUGAAAUAGAACCUGAAACCGUGUACGUACAAGCAGUGGGAGCCCUUCGGGGUGACUGCGUACCUUUUGUAUAAUGGGUCAGCGACUUACAUUUUGUAGCGAGGUUAACCGUAUAGGGGAGCCGUAGGGAAACCGAGUCUUAACUGGGCGUCUAGUUGCAAGGUGUAGACCCGAAACCGGGUGAUCUAGCCAUGGGCAGGUUGAAGGUUGAGUAACAUCAACUGGAGGACCGAACCCACUAACGUUGCAAAGUUAGGGGAUGACCUGUGGCUGGGGGUGAAAGGCCAAUCAAACUCGGAGAUAGCUGGUUCUCCCCGAAAGCUAUUUAGGUAGCGCCUCGGACGAAUACUACUGGGGGUAGAGCACUGUUUGGGCUAGGGGGUCAUCCCGACUUACCAACCCCAUGCAAACUCCGAAUACCAGUAAGUAAUAUCCGGGAGACACACGGCGGGUGCUAACGUCCGUCGUGAAGAGGGAAACAACCCAGACCGCCGGCUAAGGUCCCAAAGUUCUGGUUAAGUGGGAAACGAUGUGGGAAGGCUCAGACAGCUAGGAUGUUGGCUUAGAAGCAGCCAUCAUUUAAAGAAAGCGUAAUAGCUCACUAGUCGAGUCGGCCUGCGCGGAAGAUGUAACGGGGCUCAAAC